rnacentral:rRNA from 1 species
GACGAACGCUGGCGGCGUGCUUAACACAUGCAAGUCGAACGGAAAGGCCCCUUUGGGGGUACUCGAGUGGCGAACGGGUGAGUAACACGUGCGUAACCUGCCCUUGACUUCGGGAUAACUUCAGGAAACUGGGGCUAAUACCGGAUAGGAAUCCUUGCUGCAUGGUGGGGGUUGGAAAGCUUCGGCGGUUUUGGAUGGACUCGCGGCUUAUCAGCUUGUUGGUGGGGUAGUGGCUUACCAAGGCUUUGACGGGUAGCCGGCCUGGGAGGGCGACCGGCCACAUUGGGACUGAGAUACGGCCCAGACUCCUACGGGAGGCAGCAGUGGGGAAGAUUGCACAAUGGGCGGAAGCCUGAUGCAGAAACGCCGCGUGCGGGAGGACGGCCUUCGGGUUGUAAACCGCUUUCAGCAGGGGCGAAGCUUGUGGUGACGGUACCUGCAGAAGAAGCACCGGCUAACUACGUG